rnacentral:misc_RNA from 1 species
AUAAACUCGACCAUAAGAUCCUUCACCAAUCAGUGCCUUGGACCCAAAGUUGUCAGUCUUUUCUUUCAGUUCUUCCAGAGACAACGCUGGCACUUCUAUGGGAGGUGGAGUUUUUGGUGGUUCAGAUUUGACAGGAGUUGCCUCUUUUGAGCUCCUUUGAUGGUGACCAUCUCCAUAACUUCGUGGGCUUUUCAGGUGCUCACUUUCUGCUGAUGGGUAGGCCUCUUCAACUUGACAAGUACAACAAAGCCACCUGCGCAUUCUAUCCCUUUUACUUAGAUAUAGAUCGUCUUUAGAUCCUGUAUUCCUCAAACGUACGAAGUAACCAG